AUUGAACGCUGGCGGCAUGCCUUACACAUGCAAGUCGAACGGCAACACGGGAGCAAUCCUGGUGGCGAGUGGCGAACGGGUGAGUAAUACAUCGGAACGUGCCCAGUAGUGGGGGAUAACCCGGCGAAAGCCGGACUAAUACCGCAUACGACCUACGGGUGAAAGCGGGGGAUCGCAAGACCUCGCGCUAUCGGAGCGGCCGAUGUCAGAUUAGCUAGUUGGUGGGGUAAAGGCCUACCAAGGCGACGAUCUGUAGCUGGUCUGAGAGGACGACCAGCCACACUGGGACUGAGACACGGCCCAGACUCCUACGGGAGGCAGCAGUGGGGAAUUUUGGACAAUGGGCGCAAGCCUGAUCCAGCCAUGCCGCGUGCGGGAAGAAGGCCUUCGGGUUGUAAACCGCUUUUGUCAGGGAAGAAACGCUCCGGGCUAAUACCACGGAGUAAUGACGGUACCUGAAGAAUAAGCACCGGCUAACUACGUG
rnacentral:rRNA from 1 species